GCAUUGGUGGCUCAGUGGUAGAAUUCUCAGCUUGCAUGCGGGAGACCUGGAUUCAGUUGCCAGCCAAUGCA
rnacentral:tRNA from 1 species